rnacentral:rRNA from 1 species
GAUGAACGCUGGCGGCGUGCCUAAUACAUGCAAGUCGAGCGAACAGAUGAGGAGCUUGCUCCUCUGACGUUAGCGGCGGACGGGUGAGUAACACGUGGAUAACCUACCUAUAAGACUGGGAUAACUUCGGGAAACCGGAUCUAAUACCGGAUAAUAUAUUGAACCGCAUGGUUCAAUAGUGAAAGACGGUUUUGCUGUCACUUCUAGAUGGAUCCGCGCCGCAUUAGCUAGUUGGUAAGGUAACGGCUUACCAAGGCAACGAUGCGUAGCCGACCUGAGAGGGUGAUAGGCCACACGGGAACUGAGACACGGUCCAGACUCCUACGGGAGGCAGCAGUAGGGAAUCUUCCGCAAUGGGCGAAAGCCUGACGGAGCAACGCCGCGUGAGUGAUGAAGGUCUUCGGAUCGUAAAAAUCUGUUAUUAGGGAAGAACAAAUGUGUAAGUAACUAUGCACGUCUUGACGGUACCUAAUCAGAAAGCCACGGCUAACUACGUG